AGAGUUUGAUCCUGGCUCAGAACGAACGCUGGCGGCGCGCCUAAUACAUGCAAGUCGAGCGAGAAGGUGUAGCAAUACACUUGUAAAGCGGCGAACGGGUGAGGAAUGCAUGGGUAACCUACCCUCGAGUGGGGAAUAACUAGCCGAAAGGUUAGCUAAUACCGCAUACGUUUCCGGGACUUAGGUUCCGGAAAGAAAGCAAUACCGUGGGUAUUGCGCUCAUGGAUGGGCUCAUGUCCUAUCAGCUUGUUGGUGAGGUAACGGCUCACCAAGGCUUCGACGGGUAGCUGGUCUGAGAGGACGAUCAGCCACACUGGCACUGCGACACGGGCCAGACUCCUACGGGAGGCAGCAGUAAGGAAUAUUGCGCAAUGGACGAAAGUCUGACGCAGCGACGCCGCGUGGGGGAUGAAGGUCUUCGGAUUGUAAACCCCUUUCGGGAGGGAAGAUGGAGUGGGUAACCACUUGGACGGUACCUCCAGAAGCAGCCACGGCUAACUUCGUGCCAGCAGCCGCGGUAAUACGAAGGUGGCAAGCGUUGUUCGGAUUCACUGGGCGUACAGGGAGCGUAGGCGGUUGGGUAAGCCCUCCGUGAAAUCUCCGGGCCUAACCCGGAAAGUGCAGAGGGGACUGCUCAGCUAGAGGAUGGGAGAGGAGCGCGGAAUUCCCGGUGUAGCGGUGAAAUGCGUAGAGAUCGGGAGGAAGGCCGGUGGCGAAGGCGGCGCUCUGGAACAUUUCUGACGCUGAGGCUCGAAAGCGUGGGGAGCAAACAGGAUUAGAUACCCUGGUAGUCCACGCCUUAAACUAUGGAUACUAAGUGUCGGCGGUUUA
rnacentral:rRNA from 1 species